GAUGAAGAACGUAUCGAAAUGCGAUACGUAGUGUGAAUUGCAGAAUUCAGUGAAUCAUCGAAUCUUUGAACGCACAUUGCACCUCUCGGUAUUCCGGGAGGUAUGCCUGUUCGAGCGUCAUUUGUACCCUCAAGCUCUGCUUGGUGUUGGGUGUUUGUUCCGCCUCUGUGUGUGAACUCGCCUCAAAACAAUUGGCAGCCGGCGUACUUGUUUCGGAGCGCAGCACAUUUUGCGAUCCAGAUCAACGUACAGCGGCAUCCAAGAAGCCUUAUUUAACGCUCUUGACCUCGGAUCAGGUAGGGAUACCCGCUGAACUUAAGAAUAUCAAUAAGCGGAGGA
rnacentral:misc_RNA from 1 species